AUUGAAGCACAGGUCCCCGUACGAUCACCGAAGUUAAGCAACGUCGAACCUGUUCAGUACCUACAGGGGCUACCGCUUCGGAGUACCAGGUGCUGUAAG